rnacentral:rRNA from 1 species
ACUCCUACGGGAGGCAGCAGUGGGGAAUAUUGGACAAUGGGGGGAACCCCUGAUCCAGCCAUGCCGCGUGUGUGAAGAAGGCCUUUUGGUUGUAAAGCACUUUAAGCGAGGAGGAGGCUUACCUGGUUAUACCUGGGAUAAGUGGACGUUACUCGCAGAAUAAGCACCGGCUAACUUCGUGCCAGAGCCGCGGUAAUACAGAGGGUGCAAGCGUUAAUCGGAUUACUGGGCGUAAAGCGCGCGUAGGUGGCUAAUUAAGUCAAAUGUGAAAUCCCCGAGCUUAACUUGGGAAUUGCAUUCGAUACUGGUUAGCUAGAGUAUGGGAGAGGAUGGUAGAAUUCCAGGUGUAGCGGUGAAAUGCGUAGAGAUCUGGAGGAAUACCGAUGGCGAAGGCAGCCAUCUGGCCUAAUACUGACACUGAGGUGCGAAAGCAUGGGGAGCAAACAGGAUUAGAUACCCUGGUAG